CACGUAGGCGGAUUUGUAAGUCAGGGUGAAAUCCCGGGGCUCAACCUCGGAACUGCCUUUGAUACUGCAAAUCUCGAGUCCGGAAGAGGUGAGUGGAAUUCCUAGUGUAGAGGUGAAAUUCGUAGAUAUUAGGAAGAACACCAGUGGCGAAGGCGGCUCACUGGUCCGGUACUGACGCUGAGGUGCGAAAGCGUGGGGAGGCAAAACA
rnacentral:rRNA from 1 species